CAAAGACCAACUUCAAACACCAGCCGCAACUCACAUUCUCUUAAGUGCGCGGCACAUCGACGCAUCACGCGUACAGAUUACACACCGCAGAGGGUUCCCGUUCGAGAAAUAUAGAGACGGCCCUUCAUAUUUUUAUUUGCUGAGAGAGAGAAUUUCUGAUAAAUUCGGUACUCUUCGUGAGACUUUUGUUAAGGGUGUUUACCACGGAACAUUUCUCCACGUAAAAUUGGCCACGGAAAAUUUCACCACGGGAAGCAUCACGGAAAGCACCACAGAAAGCACCAUACGAACAGAGGAAAGUGAAUCCAGCGCAUCCCUGUGCAACAACAAACAGCUUUUGAAAAGAGUCCAGCACUGCUCGUCAAAAGCGUUCUAUCUCGUGUUCCUCCAUUAGUAUGCGGUGGACUUCGCCUGGAGACAAAGUUACGACCAACAAUGCAGAAGCCACGGACCGCUCAUGAGACUUGAGGAUGACAUUCGCGGAUGAAACAGUCCAGGUCACUGUGUCGCCUCUGAUUAACCUCACCCACAAAAGAAUAGAGCCCGAGGGAAUAAAUGCGCCUGAAUUUCGGCGACAAAAGGAGGCAGUGGGCUGUCUUGCCGCAUAACCUAGCUCAUUUUUGAAACCGCCGAGCGCUCCCCUCACACUUUUACACAUGUUCCCAUGGUGUUAUCACUUCC
rnacentral:lncRNA from 1 species